rnacentral:rRNA from 1 species
ACGUGAAGCCCGGGCUUGCCUGGGUGGAAAGUGGCGAACGGGUGCCUAACACGUGAGCAACCUGCCCCGAAGACCGNNNNNACAGCGGGAAACCGCUGCUAAUACCGGAUGCCCUCAUCAUGUCGCAUGGCGAGAUGAGGAAAUGGAUUCCGCUUCGGGAUGGGCUCGCGGUCUAUCAGCUUGUUGGUGAGGUAAUGGCUCACCAAGGCUACGACGGAUAGCUGGUCUGAGAGGAUGUCCAGCCACACUGGGACUGAGACACGGCCCAGACUCCUACGGGAGGCAGCAGUGGGGAAUCUUGCACAAUGGGCGAAAGCCUGAUGCAGCGACGCCGCGUGCGGGAUGACGGCCUUCGGGUUGUAAACCGCUUUCAGCAGGGACGAUUAUGACGGUACCUGCAGAAGAAGCCCCGGCCAACUACGUGCCAGCAGCCGCG